AUGGACCUGCCCGGCACCUUACGAGAAAUCAAAGUUUUUGGGUUCUGGGGGGAGUAUGGUCGCAAGGCUGAAACUUAAAGGAAUUGACGGAAGGGCACCACCAGGAGUAAACAUGUUGCAGGACUCUGCUCCGGAUAGCCGCCCGAAAGGGUUAGUGGUGUUCUUCGAUAAAACUGGCUAGUUGUUCUUUGGAACAGCAACACGCUCAAACUGCGGGAAACUCCUAAAGCUUUCACUACCAAGUUGCGUUCGAAAGAGCGCGAUGGCCGAGCUAAUAGCCCUGGGUACGGUAAAAACGUGAAAGAUGCGACAAUGGACGAUCCGCAGCCAAGCUCCUACGGCGCAAGCUAUGGAGAAGGUUCAGAGACUAGACGGGUGUGGGUGUUCAUUUCCGUUAUGUAAACCGUCCUGUAGUUCUAGUAGUGGCAAUAUGCAAUGAGGACUGUUGUUGGAUCCAUUUUAGUCGCUCGUUGCAGAUGCUUUUUGCCACUUUUACUGGAAUAGCAGAAUACUUGUCCAUGAUAAGUAUAGGUUUGGGAAGAAUGCUUAAGAUGUAGUCCGAUGCUUCGCGGAAACGCGUAGCAGUAAUGGGAGCCUGCGGCUUAAUUUGACUCAACACGGGGAAACUCACCAGGUCCAGACACAAAAAGGAUUGACAGAUUGAGAGCUCUUUCUUGAUUUUGUGGUUGGUGGUGCAUGGCCGUUCUUAGUUGGUGGAGUGAUUUGUCUGCUUAAUUGCGAUAACGAACGAGACCUUAACCUGCUAAAUAGUUCUGUCAGCUAUUUCUGACUAGAGCUUCUUAGAGGGACUAUCGGUUUUAAGCCGAAGGAAGUUUGAGGCAAUAACAGGUCUGUGAUGCCCUUAGAUGUUCUGGGCCGCACGCGCGCUACACUGACGGAGCCAGCGAGCACAUCCUUGACCGAGAGGUCUGGGUAAUCUUGUUAAACUCCGUCGUGCUGGGGAUAGAGCUUUGCAAUUAUUGCUCUUCAACGAGGAAUUCCUUGUAAGCACAAGUCAUCAGCUUGUGUUGAACGUGUCCCUGCCUUUUGUACACACCGCCCGUCGCUACUACCGAUUGAAUGGCUUAGUGAGGCCUUCGGACGUGCUCUUUAGAGGGGCAACCCUCUUGCUGAGCAUGAAAGUUGUACAAACUUGGUCAUUUAGAGGAAGUAAAAGUCGUAACAAGGUAUCUGUAGAAGAAUCUGCAGAUGG
rnacentral:rRNA from 1 species